rnacentral:rRNA from 1 species
GACGAAGGGGGCUAGCGUUGUUCGGAAUUACUGGGCGUAAAGCGCGUGUAGGCGGUUGCCCAAGUCGGGUGUGAAAGCCUUGAGCUCAACUCAAGAAAUGCACUCGGUACUGGGUGACUAGAGGACCGGAGAGGAUAGUGGAAUUCCCAGUGUAGUGGUGGAAUACGUAGAGAUUGGGAAGAACACCAGUGGCGAAGGCGGCUAUCUGGACGGUUUCUGACGCUAAGACGCGAAAGCGUGGGGAGCAAACAGG